rnacentral:snRNA from 1 species
CAGCUCGCUUCGGCAGCACAUAUUCUAAAAUUAGAAAGAUACAGAGAAGAUUAGCAUGGCUCCUGUGCAGCAAGUCCAUCUUAAGCGCUGAACCAUCUCUCU